rnacentral:ncRNA from 1 species
CAGAGUAGGCCCGGCGCGUUAAGUGUCACAGGAUGGGACGUUGCCUGUGAACGAAGGUCAUGUGGACCGCGUUGCCGCCGCCGCAUCCGCUGC